GCAGACUCGGAGCCUGCAGCUACAGACCUCCGCACAGAGAGCCGCAUUCUCAGAGCACUCGUUUUUUCGAGACAGCGUGACAAGAAACGCCAUCAUUCAUGGACUAUGUGAAAUGCAGGCAUUAUCCUGGCAGGAAGCUGAGCAGGUGGUCCUCCAUGGAUCGUCUUAUCACUCUAGUGAAGUCAAGGAAUUUGACAGAGCAGUUUCCAAAAGACUGAAAAAAGAAGGAAAAAUCACCUGCAGGAAGUAAUUACUUACUUAUGCAUUUACAUUAUUUUAUAUUUAUUCAUUUAGCAGACGCUUUUAUCCAAAGUGACUUAUAAAUGAAGAGUUAUUUUUAAUGCAAUUGAA